UACAAUCUUGAGAUAUUUUUAAAAUAGGUAACACAUUGAACAGCCAUGGGCUGAAAUUGAAAAAAAAAAUCUGAAAAUAUAUAAUUUUCAAUUCUGUUUCUACAUAUUUGGUAUACCUACAGGGUGUUCCAGAAUAACCUUUCACUUUUGUUUUAUUAGUAGCUCUGAGAGAAAAAUGGUUACGGAAAUUUUUUUAUAACCAAAAUGAAGUAGAAAUGUGCCGUUUUUAGACCAUAUAUUUGAGUUUUCAUUAUAAAUUAAGUUUUAAAAAUUAUUCCACCAAGAUGUUUUCCAUCAUUUUUGACACAAUCGACCAAACGUUUUUUAAAAUUAUUGAACACUUUGUUGAGCAUUUCUCUUCUAAUCAGUCUUGAUUCACGAAUAAUAUUAUCUAGGAGCUGUUUCAGAGUCCUAGGAUCAUCUUGAUAUACUUUUGACUUGAGGUAACCCCAUAAAAAAAAAUCACAUACUGAAAAAUCAGGGGAUCGAGGUGGCCAUGAAAUUUCUGUGUUCAGCGAAAUUAUUCGAUGACCAAAAUGCUCACGCAAUAAAGAAAUCGUGUCCGUUGCGGAAUGACAGGUAGCGCCAUCCUGUUGGAACCAAGUAACUCUAUACUUGUGUCUGCGUUUCAAUUCAGGAAUGAGAAACUCGUUUAACAUUUUGCGAUACCUCUCACCGUUCACCGUUUCAUCAAACCAACACCUCCUAUAAUAAAAGGCCUGGGCGCUGUUGGAAAACACGAUGUGGUCACACUGUACCGUAGGCCGACCGUUAUCAUUCAAUUCAUUUGAAAUGUAUUGAUUGUCAUAUAAAAUUUGUUUAAUUUUAAUGAAAAUUUAGCAAAUUAUGGGUUAAUUUAGAAAAAAUUGUUCAUCAAUUUUGUUGAAUAUUGUGUUAUUUUACUAGUAAAGUAUCCCAGUGGAGUGUUGUGCGUCUGUUGUGAACGUAAAUUACACUGAAAAUAUGAAAGAACCAGUGAUUGAUUUUUGGAUGAUAAACGUUUCACAUUACUGAAUAAAAUUUCGCGAAUUAUGAUUUAAUUUUUAAAAAAUGGCUUCAUAUUCACACUACAUCGUGUUAUUUAACUCGUGAAUUGUGUCACUCAAGUGCUGUGGGUUUGUUUUCGAGAUAAUUAUGCUGACAGAAAAUACCAAUGAUCUGAUUUCUACCUCCGGAGCUUUGAAUAUCUAUCUAAAUUCAAAUGGUUGAAUUUCCUACAGAGAAUGAUGAAAACAUAGACCAAAUGGAAUAUAAUAUCCAAGUGAAUAAUCAUCAUUUCUUAUGAAUUUAUGAUCCGAAGAUAUGAAAUUGUAGCUCACAUUUGAUGAAGUAUUCAAGAUGUUGAUUCUGAUGGACGUUUUUAUAACUUACAAAUGCAAUGGAUUACACAGGAAGAUGAGUUCGAAAAUAUUUAUCGAAUCAGGGAUGGAAGAGCCGGGAGCGAGCCGGAGCCAGAGUCUGAAAGAGCCGGAUUUUUUGAGGAGCUAGAGCCAGAGCCAAGAGCCAAAUAAAUGAAAGUGCAGAAAAACAUCACGAGCUCUCUUGCAAAAGAGCUCCUUAUUUUACUCAAGAGAGCCAUCAUCAUAAGGAGUCUUUAACCUGGAAAGAGCCAGAGCCGAGUGGGAGCCCACAAAAUUUUUCAGGCUCUUUGGCUCCCUAAAAGUAGAGAAAAAAGUUGAAAAAUGCGCACAAUUUUAUCAAAAAUUCAACUUUUAACUCACAUUUGUGAAGAAAAUGAAGAAUUUCUAAGUUUUUUUCCUCAUUGAGAAAUGAAAUGAAAAUAAAUGCAGUGUAUUUUCAUUUUUUUCAUCGUUUUUCACGAAUUUUGAACUCUAAUUUAAAGAGCCAAGAGCCAGAGCCAGAGCUGGAGUGGGAGCCGAGAAAUUGGAAGAGGGAGUCGAGAGUCAAAGAGCGGAGUCGGAAAGAAUUGAGGAGCGAGCAAGGAGCCAAAGAGCUCAUGUAAAGAAAAAGUGCCAAGAGCCAAGAGCGAGCCAGAGCUGAAACUUGCGGGGAGCUGAGCCAGAGCCAAGAGCGGGAGCCCUGAAUUCAAGGCUCUUCCAUCCCUGUUUUAGAUCUUGAUGAUUAUACCAGUAUGUUACCCACUGAAAUACUCCGUUCUGUGAUAUUUAGGAUACUUUUUAAAUAUUUUUAAUGUCUAGUGUACAAAAAAUUAUGGUAAUCGAAAUAAAAUCAUAAUUUUAGUGGUA